rnacentral:rRNA from 1 species
GUGGGGGAUCUUAGACAAUGGGCGCAAGCCUGAUCUAGCCAUGCCGCGUGAGCGAUGAAGGCCUUAGGGUUGUAAAGCUCUUUCGUGGGGGAAGAUAAUGACUGUACCCCAAGAAGAAGCCCCGGCUAACUCCGUGCCAGCAGCCGCGGUAAUACGGAGGGGGCUAGCGUUGUUCGGAAUUACUGGGCGUAAAGCGCACGUAGGCGGACUGGAAAGUCAGGGGUGAAAUCCCGGGGCUCAACCCCGGAACUGCCUUUGAAACUCCCAGUCUUGAGUUCGAGAGAGGUGAGUGGAAUUCCGAGUGUAGAGGUGAAAUUCGUAGAUAUUCGGAGGAACACCAGUGGCGAAGGCGGCUCACUGGCUCGAUACUGACGCUGAGGUGCGAAAGCGUGGGGAGCAAACAGGAUUAGAAACCCUUGUAGUCC